rnacentral:lncRNA from 1 species
GUCGCUUGUGAUGAUUAUCCUUCCGUGCCUCUUAAUAUUUUCUCAGGGUGAGUACCCAACAACAAUUAGUUGAACUUCUCGUAAAGAUAUUGGUUAGAUUUAUAUAAUUGUGGGCAAUCUCAUUGAGAACCAUUACUAAGUUAUUUUGAAAUCCUGUAUAAUUUUUCGUAAUACCUAACUGAAUGAGAACACACUUAUUUGCAUAUGCAGCUCAACCAACUAAUCAGGUGGAUAGCAGCAAGAUCGCAAUAUGCCUAUGACAAGAGAAUACUCCACCCUGCCCAAAUAAUUUGUGCUUCUGUUGUGUACUGGAGCAAGAACUUUGCUUUAGGUCCAGGAAAGAAUGCAUUUGUGGUUCUGCUUGCGGCCACCCUCCUUUAGAUGCAACUUACCCUCAUCCCCUCUCUUUGCCUUAAAACACUGUUUCAGAUUGUUGCGAUGAAAAGUAUUGUCAUGAAUAUCUUGAACUUGAAGUAAAAGAAAUAAGUUAUAAUCAUCGCAUGGUUAGCGUUAUGCCAUGAAC